GACGAACGCUGGCGGCGUGCUUAACACAUGCAAGUCGAACGGUAAGGCUCCAGCUUGCUGGGGUACACGAGUGGCGAACGGGUGAGUAACACGUGGGUGACCUGCCCUGCACUUCGGGAUAAGCCUGGGAAACUGGGUCUAAUACCGGAUAGGACCGCACCGUGAGGGUGUGGUGGAAAGUUUUUUCGGUGUUGGAUGGGCCCGGGGGCUAUCAGCUUGUUGGUGGGGUAAUGGCCUACCAAGGCGGCGACGGGUAGCCGGCCUGAGAGGGUGGACGGCCACCUUGGGACUGCGACACGGACCAGACUCCUACGGGAGGCAGCAGUGGGGAAUAUUGCACAAUGGGCGGAAGCCUGAUGCAGCGACGCCGCGUGGGGGAUGACGGCCUUCGGGUUGUAAACUCCUUUCACCAUCGACGAAGGGUUUCUGACGGUAGAUGGAGAAGAAGCACCGGCUAACUACGUG
rnacentral:rRNA from 1 species